GUUUUUGAGAAGUAGAGGAGGACAGAUAGGCCAGCGUCUGAACUGUAUUAUGUCAAACAUGACUCAAGUUGAUGAUGUCGAUUUAGGGCGGGAUUGUCUUCUCAAGGGGCUGUGUGUGUACCUCAAUGAGAGAGUUUGUGGCAGAAGAUGAAGACGUCAUUCUGCGGUCCAUUCAGGGGAUUACAGUGGGACUUUAUGUUGUCAAACACAAUUCCACCAUGAGACCAGAGGACAGAUGAGACCAGAGGACAGAUGAGACCAGAGGACAGAUUGUCCUGGAAGGCCAACAGGUACUAACUGAUGUGGACAACAUUGCAUUAGCUGCUACCAUGCUGUUUGGACUAAUGUAUGCAAUGAACCUGAACUACCCCCCUAAACUGAAGUGCACGUUCGAAGUGCUCCAGCAAAUGUUAAUGGAGCUAGACGGCAACAUGCUCUCCAAGAAAGCCCAAGCGUUUAAAAACAAA